AUGCACGCUGGCGGCGUGCCUAAUACAUGCAAGUCGCGCGAACAGACGAGGAGCUUGCUCCUCUGACGUUAGCGGCGGACGGGUGAGUAACACGUGGAUAACCUACCUAUAAGACUGGGAUAACUUCGGGAAACCGGAGCUAAUACCGGAUAAUAUAUUGAACCGCAUGGUUCAAUAGUGAAAGACGGUUUUGCUGUCACUUAUAGAUGGAUCCGCGCCGCAUUAGCUAGUUGGUAAGGUAACGGCUUACCAAGGCAACGAUGCGUAGCCGACCUGAGAGGGUGAUCGGCCACACUGGAACUGAGACACGGUCCAGACUCCUACGGGAGGCAGCAGUAGGGAAUCUUCCGCAAUGGGCGAAAGCCUGACGGAGCAACGCCGCGUGAGUGAUGAAGGUCUUCGGAUCGUAAAACUCUGUUAUUAGGGAAGAACAAAUGUGUAAGUAACUAUGCACGUCUUGACGGUACCUAAUCAGAAAGCCACGGCUAACUACGCG
rnacentral:rRNA from 1 species